AUUGGGCAAUGGANGCAACGUCUGACCCAGCCAUGCCGCGUGCAGGAAAGACGGCCCUAUGGGUUGUAAACUGCUUUUAUACAGGAAGAAACACUCGUACGAGUACGAGCUUGACGGUACUGUAAGAAUAAGGACCGGCUAACUCCGUGCCAGCAGCCGCGGUAAUACGGAGGGUCCGAGCGUUAUCCGGAAUCAUUGGGUUUAAAGGGUCCGCAGGCGGUCGAUUAAGUCAGAGGUGAAAUCCCAUAGCUCAACUAUGGAACUGCCUUUGAUACUGGUUGACUUGAGUCAUAUGGAAGUAGAUAGAAUGUGUAGUGUAGCGGUGAAAUGCAUAGAUAUUACACAGAAUACCGAUUGCGAAGGCAGUCUACUACGUAUGUACUGACGCUGAUGGACGAAAGCGUGGGGAGCGAACAGGAUUAGAUACCCUGGUAGUCCACGCCGUAAACGAUGGAUACUAGUUGUUGGGCAUUAGCUCAGUGACUAAGCGAAAGUGAUAAGUAUCCCACCUGGGGAGUACGGUCGCAAGACUGAAACUCAAAGGAAUUGACGG
rnacentral:rRNA from 1 species